UGUUCCUGGUCCCAAGUGACCUCUGAAAUACUUUUAUCUACAUAGGUAGAGGAGCUCUGGGCAGAGUGGCCAUAGUGACUUCUCACACAGGACAAAGAUCAGUGUACACAGUGUUUAAUAAAUGACUGAUUGAAAGCAAAGAAUUCUUGAAGGGCUGGGAUAGGUCUCCACUGACCUUUGGUGAGCCUGUCCUAGAGCAGAAGCUGCUUGGCAAACUGUUGGAUUGCUAGAGAAUGCUAAAGUCGUUCUAAAUGGACCAGUGAUUUAGAUGGAGAGAUGAGGGGCCCAAAAGACAAUGAAUCCCUCUUGUUCUGUAGACAAGAAGGCCGAGACUGAAGAAAAAAGCAUAGUGUCCGAAGGCUCUAAUCAAACAGGAAUAUGGAGGCGCAGAAAGGACCGGGUCUAAAGUACCACAAUUUUCCAUUGUGAAUUGGAUAGCUGAUGUGGUUGGACAAUGACCCCUUAAAUUGGGACAUGUUUUUUCCUAGUGGUUACUGACAAAUAUUAACAA